rnacentral:rRNA from 1 species
GACGAACGCUGGCGGCGUGCUUAACACAUGCAAGUCGAACGGAAAGGCCUCUUUCGGGGGGUACUCGAGUGGCGAACGGGUGAGUAACACGUGAGUAACCUGCCCUUGACUUUGGGAUAACUUCAGGAAACUGGGGCUAAUACCGGAUAGGAGCUCCUGCUGCAUGGUGGGGGUUGGAAAGUUUCGGCGGUUGGGGAUGGACUCGCGGCUUAUCAGCUUGUUGGUGGGGUAGUGGCUUACCAAGGCUUUGACGGGUAGCCGGCCUGAGAGGGUGACCGGCCACAUUGGGACUGAGAUACGGACCAGACUCCUACGGGAGGCAGCAGUGGGGAAUAUUGCACAAUGGGUGGAAGCCUGAUGCAGCAACGCCGUGUGCGGGAUGACGGCCUUCGGGUUGUAAACCGCUUUCGCUCAUGACGAAGCUUUGUGUGACGGUAGUGGGUAAAGAAGCACCGGCUAACUACGUG